UGGGAGAUGCACUUAUCUCCAACACAAUUGAUUUACACUUUACACCUACAAAAGUGUGUCACUGUGUGUAUUUUAUGCGCACCCAUGGCAGCAGUCACCAGUUGUCUUCCUGUUUCAGCAACUAUUCUUCUUCUUCUUCUUUUCCUUUCCCCUACUUCCAUUGCUGUUCCGAUCUCAAGAACAAGAAACCUCAUGGAUGAACGAUCACUUCACAUAGUUUCAGGCUAUAUCCCAUCGGUAAAGGAAAGUUGGGAGAUCAGUGAGAGCAAUGAUAUAACCGAAAGAAUGAAUCUUGAAGUGAACGAUUAUCCAGGAUCUGGUGCAAACAACCGCCACACGCCAAGGCCAUAGCAAGGGACAAGAUCAUAUUUCAAACGACAUAUGAAACUAGAAGCAACAUAAAUAGAGUACUAGCUAGCUACUAGAGUUUUAUUUAGUUAAUGAUACGUACGACAAAAUCAGGCUAAGUAAACUACUACCUAACUACCUACAAUUAUACAAUUCAUGCUACUAAUACGUAUAUAUUUAUACGUUAAAUAUGUAUCUAGCUAGCUAGUACAAUGAUUCAAAAUAUAAGAAUCUACCAAUGUAUGUCACCAAGUUGUUGAGGUUGGAGUCUGAACAUUGGUAGCAAUAUUAGAUAAUGAUGACGAUUAUGUUUUAAUCUUCGUUUUUGUUUUAAUCUUCUUUUUGGUCUAGGAAGUGAGUCAUGUCAAUAGAUACAGACGUGAGAUUUCAUAUUAGGUGAAAAAAAAAACCAAAUGGUGGCAUAUUUUCUAUUACUUAGUUGCACAUUUUGUUUAAUUUAUAAGUGACACAAUAGUAUAAAAAAAUUAAAAUUUUUUACAUUAUGUAUAUAAAAGUCAGACGUUGCCGGUGUCACUACAGGACACCAAUAAGAACCACCCCUACAUGUCGUGAUAUAUAAAGUUACGUAAAAUGAAACAUUUCAUAUUGUGAGUCACGUUAUUAAGAUAAACUAACAUAAAAUGAAACAGGCUAAAGAGUACGUAUACUAGACAAGUAUUUUUUUAUAACAAAUUAAUAUUUGGUUAUAGCUUUUCAUACUAUACGCCUGUUAGGUAGAAAGCACUCUGGAUCUUGGAGCAAAUAUGGAAAUUUAGUGGAGAAAGUGGAAUAUUGAGGUGGUAGGCAAUCAUGAAAGUUGUGUAUGGUUGAAUCUAGACCGAACAAAAUUAUUAAAUUGAAAUAAUUUGGUUGAAAGUUGUGUAUGGUUGAGUCUAGACCGAACAAAAUUAUUAAUUUGAAAUAAUUUUGUUGGUUUAAUUAGUUUUGUAUAGUAAGGUCUUUAUUUGCUUGAUAGUUAAAAGUGUUUGAAGUGAGUAACUUUAUUAUGCUAGAUUUUCUAGUUAUCAAAUUAUAAGGUAAUCGAAAUAAAAAAAGUUUAAAGUAAACAAGUAUAGGUUCCAAGCGAUUUAAUUAAUUCAAAUAAAAAAAUUAGAGAAUUAUAUAUAUUUAAUUCUCCACCCACAAAAAAAAAGUAUUCCGUAUCUCUAAAUAUUACUAAAACAAAACCUUAAAUUCUUCAAUGAAGAAACAUCAACCUUUGAUUGCAUUUCCAUCCUUUAGUCUCCACCUUAGGAUCAUUUUGCUGACAUCAUCCUGACACAAAAAACUACACGCGCCUCCCGAAUAAAACUUUCUUCUUACGAUUCAUUCCUAAUUCCAUUCUUAUGUUUUCUCUCUAAAGAAUCAACACAAUCAGCUCCCCUGAAACUCAAUAGAUAUGAACCCUAACCCCUUCCUUCUGCCGAUAUGCAUAACCCCAUUGAUUUCAUCUAUACAUGGAAUCGAUCCUAUGCGUUCUACUAAAUAAUUAAAUGGAAUCGAUCCUAUGCGUAACCCUAGGAAUUCCCGAGGGGCACCGCAUCAACCAUCAACGAUUUUCGACCAUCGGUUUCUUUUCCACCCUUCGUUCCCGAUUCCCCAUCAACUCUCCACCCAAAUUCACCGGAAGUUUAUGAAAACCUAGAAGAAUGUUCUUUUCUCUAUUUGGGAGAAGCUUUGGGCAUUUCGUACAAGUUGUAAAGAAAGAUGUCGAUUUUCUCAAGAAGAAUAUCGGUGCAGGCAUCAAUUGGACGAGCGAAGCUCUUGGUUUACCGGAUAUGUCGAAAAAGGUAGAUGAGUUUGUUUGGUUACUAAACCUCGAAGAUCCCCACUAUUCUGGUGAAUUUCAGUCUCCUUCUUGGCCUUGGCCUUAUUAUCCAGGUUUUGCUUUUUCUCACUUUCUCCAUAAUCUCUAUUUUUGGCAUAAUUUACUUGUAAUUAUAAUUUCAAGAAAUCCUGCAGCUAUUUCUUCAAAUUAUUUCCAUUUCCACCUUUUGUUGAUAUCUACGCUAAAUGACCAAUUUCAUUCAAGAACCGAACUUCACUUGCUCAUACUCAUGCCAAUGAAGAUAACCAUAUUGCUGAUGCUGAAUUUGAUGGGUUUGAAUUGGAAAUCAAUGCUCUUCUCAUGAAACUAAGGCCAAUCAAACAGGAGUCUUUAAUUCGUGAUAACAACAAACUUAUAUUGUUGGCAUCCCUUAGUAAUUCAUUGGAGUAAAUUGUCGAUUCUAUAGAAAGGCA